rnacentral:lncRNA from 1 species
GGUCUGUCAGCCAGACUCCUGGUGGAAUAACACUGUGGUCUGUCAGCCAGGCUCCUGGUGGAAUAACACUGUGGUCUGAUAGGCAGGAUCCUACUGGAAUAACACUGUGGUCUGUCAGCCAGGAUCCUACUGGAAUAACACUGUGGUCUGUCAGCCAGACUCAUGGUGGAAUAACACUGUGGUCUGUCAGCCAGGCUCCUACUGGAAUAACACUGUGGUCUGUCAGCCAGGCUCCAGGUGGAAUAACACUGUGGUCUGUCAGCCAGACUCCUGGUGGAAUAACACUGUGGUCUGUCAGCCAGACUCAUGGUGGAAUAACACUGUGGUCUGUCAGCCAGGAUCCUGGUGGAAUAACACUGGGGUCUGUCAGCCAGGCUCCUGGUGGAAUAACACUGUGGUCUGUCAGCCAGGCUCCUGGUGGAAUAACACUGGGGUCUGUCAGCCAUGAUCCUGGUGGAAUAACACUGUGGUCUGUCAGCCAGGCUCCUGGUGGAAUAACACUGUGGUCUGUCAGCCAGGCUCCAGGUGGAAUAACACUGUGGUCUGUCAGCCAGACUCCUGGUGGAAUAACACUGUGGUCUGUCAUCCAGACUCCUGGUGGAAUAACACUGUGGUCUGUCAGCCAGGCUCCUACUGGAAUAACACUGUGGUCUGUCAGCCAGGUUCCUGGUGGAAUAACACUGUGGCUGAUUUGACUGCUUUCUUACAGGACAGUAUGUCAUUGUGUCAUCAAACAGUUGGGGUUAUUAUGGGAUAGACAGAUG